UUGCAGUCACAUCUCCAAAGUGAACAUGUUAUGCUUGUAGUCAUGUAAACAAGGAGGCAAGAAAUUGUUCCCAUUGCCAAUAAGCUUAUAACUUCUGGUGUUUCUUCUCCUUUUUUUAGAACUUAGAAGCAGAGAGUGAAGCAAAUAUUUGGCUAUGCUAAGUAACUUUUGGGAGAUGCUUUGUAUAUUAAAUAUUAAUGUGUUGAAAGAAAAUUCUAGAUAACAAUGCAACUUUCUUUUGAUUUUGUUGUGACUCAAAUGGUGUUUACUGUCUUGACUCUUGUCCCUAUAUUUCAGCUGUUGUACUAAUAGAGAAAGUUGUGAUUUCUGUUCCAUCUUCACUGGGAUAUUAUGUUAUUGGCUCUGAGCAAACAUAAGCCUGUUUGGCAUGGAUAGCCCGUACAAAGGAGCAUUUUUUGUUUUGAGAUGCUGGAGUGUAUCUGAUGAUUCACUAUUAAACUCAGAAACUUUCUUUGAAUUUAAAAAGACAAGCUUAAAAGAGCAUUUUUCUUCAUUAAAAGCUUGCAUUAUACCCAUACAGAAGACAUGCAACUUUUUUGCCAGUGCCUUUUCAUAGCUUGUGUUUAUGAAGUUUCAG
rnacentral:misc_RNA from 1 species